UACGGAGGAGGCAAGCGUUAUCCGGAAUUAUUGGGCGUAAAGCGUCCGCAGGUGGCUUAUCAAGUCUGCUGUGAAAGAGCGGGGCUUAACCCCAUUAAGGCAGUGGAAACUGAGAAGCUAGAGUGCCGUAGGGGUAGAGGGAAUUCCCGGUGUAGCGGUGAAAUGCGUAGAUAUUGGGAGGAACACCAGUGGCGAAGGCGGCUCGCUGGACCGGUUCUGACGCUGAGGCGCGAAAGCGUGGGGAGCAAACGGG
rnacentral:rRNA from 1 species